rnacentral:rRNA from 1 species
GGAGGGUGCAAGCGUUAAUCGGAUUACUGGGCGUAAAGCGCACGCAGGCGGUUUGUUAAGUCAGAUGUGAAAUCCCCGGGCUCAACCUGGGAACUGCAUCUGAUACUGGCAAGCUUGAGUCUCGUAGAGGGGGGUAGAAUUCCAGGUGUAGCGGUGAAAUGCGUAGAGAUCUGGAGGAAUACCGGUGGCGAAGGCGGCCCCCUGGACGAAGACUGACGCUCAGGUGCGAAAGCGUGGGGAGCAAACAGGAUUAGAUACCCGGGUAGUCCACGCCGUAAACGAUGUCGACUUGGAGGUUGUGCCCUUGAGGCGUGGCUUCCGGAGCUAACGCGUUAAGUCGACCGCCUGGGGAGUACGGCCGCAAGGUUA